AUACGGAGGAUCCGAGCGUUAUCCGGAUUUAUUGGGUUUAAAGGGAGCGUAGGCGGACGCUUAAGUCAGUUGUGAAAGUUUGCGGCUCAACCGUAAAAUUGCAGUUGAUACUGGGUGUCUUGAGUACAGUAGAGGCAGGCGGGAUUCGUGGAGUAGCGGGGAAAUGCUUAGAUAUCACGAAGAACUCCGAUUGCGAAGGCAGCCUGCUGGACUGUAACUGACGCUGAUGCUCGAAAGUGUGGGUAUCAAACAGGAUUAGAUACCCUGGUAGUCCACACAGUAAACGAUGAAUACUCGCUGUUUGCGAUAUACAGUAAGCGGCCAAGCGAAAGCGUUAAGUAUUCCACCUGGGGAGUACGCCGGCAACGGUGAAACUCAAAUGAAUUGACGGGG
rnacentral:rRNA from 1 species